rnacentral:rRNA from 1 species
GGAUUCGAUCAUGGCUCGGUGUUGCGCUGGCGGGAUGCUUCCACAUGCAAGUCGAACGGCAGCACGGACUUCACGGUCGUGGCGAGUGGCGAACAGGUAGGUAAUGUAUCGGUGUGCACUGAUAGCGGGGGAUAACUACGCGGCAUGUAUACCGCGCCGCCGCUCGAAAACAGAGGAGACCUUCAGGCCUCACUUGCUAUUAGAAACAGCCGAUAUCCAGUUAGCUAGUUGGUGGGGUAACGGUGACUCGCCAAGGCAGCAACGAUCCGUAGCUGGUUUGAGGGGACGACCAGCCACAGGACUGGGACAUUGAGCUCUGCAGGAGCAACAGGUGAGUUUUUGGACAAUGGGGAAACCUGAUCGGCCAUCCCGCGUGUGCGAUGAAGGCCUUCUGAGUUUAUACUGGCAGAAAAAACGGCACGGGAUAAUACCCCUUACCCGGCUGUGACCUGCAGGAAUAAGCACCGGCUAUGCUAAGUGCAGCCACGUAUGCGUAGGGUGCAACGUGUCAGAUACUGGGCGUAAAGAAACGUGCGCAAACGCGGUUCGGAAGAAAGAUGUACGAAAUCGAGCUUAGCUGGGUGCAUUUUUAACUGCCAACACGUGAGCUUCAGUGUCAGAAGUGAAUUCCCUGCGCGAUAACAGUGAAAGUAUAGCAAAUAUGCGGAAGACACCAUUAAGCGAAAACAGCCUCCUGGGGAUAACACUGACGCUCAUGCACUGGCAAUGGGGGCGACGGGAUUAAGAUGCCUGGUAGUCCGCCUAAACGAUAUCAACUAACUGUUAGGGCCGUGGACCGCAGUGUACCCAGCUAACAACGUGAGUUGACCGCCUGAGUACGGUCUGUAAAGUUACAAAACUCAAGGAAUUGACGAGGACCGCACAAGCGGUGGAUGAUGUGGAUUAAUUCGAUGCAGCAUGAAAAGCCUUACCCUUGACAUGUCUGGAAUCCGAAGAGAUUUGGGAGUGCUCACCCUGAAACCGGAACACUGAGUGCUGCAUGGCUGUCGUCAUGGCUCGUGUCGUGGAUGUUGGGUUUAAGUCCGCAACGAGCGCAGCCUUGUCGUGGAUUUGCUGCGAGGCACUCAGCCGAGACUGCCGGUGAUGAAACCGGAGGAAAGGUAGGGAUGACGUCAAUCCUCAUGGCGCCCUUAGGUACGGGCUUCACGUCACCAUACAAUGGGUGUUAAGGGACGGUCGCCAACCCCGCGAGGAGCCAAUCCCAGGAAACCCGAUCGGAAGUCGGAUCGCAGUCUGCAACUCGACCGUGAAGUCGCGAAUCGCUAGUAAUCGCGGAUCGGCAUGUCGCGGUGAUACGUUCAUGGUCUUAGCACACACUGCGCCCGUCACACCAUGGGAGUAGGUUUUACCAGAAAGUAGUUAGCCUAACCGUAAGGAGGGCGAUUACGGUAAAUUCAUGGCUAGGGUGGAAAUCGCUAACAAAAUU